GGUUAAGCGACUAAGCGUACACGGUGGAUGCCUAGGCAGUCAGAGGCGAUGAAGGGCGUGCUAAUCUGCGAAAAGCGUCGGUAAGGUGAUAUGAACCGUUAUAACCGACGAUACCCGAAUGGGGAAACCCAGUGCAAUUCGUUGCACUAUUGCAUGGUGAAUACAUAGCCAUGCAAGGCGAACCGGGGGAACUGAAACAUCUAAGUACCCCGAGGAAAAGAAAUCAACCGAGAUUCCCCCAGUAGCGGCGAGCGAACGGGGAGGAGCCCAGAACCUGAAUCAGCGUAUGUGUUAGUGGAAGCGUCUGGAAAGUCGCACGGUACAGGGUGAUAGUCCCGUACACAAAAAUGCAUAUGUUGUGAGUUCGAUGAGUAGGGCGGGACACGUGACAUCCUGUCUGAAUAUGGGGGGACCAUCCUCCAAGGCUAAAUACUCCUGACUGACCGAUAGUGAACCAGUACCGUGAGGGAAAGGCGAAAAGAACCCCGGCGAGGGGAGUGAAACAGAACCUGAAACCGUGUACGUACAAGCAGUGGGAGCACCUUCGUGGUGUGACUGCGUACCUUUUGUAUAAUGGGUCAGCGACUUAUAUUUUGUAGCAAGGUUAACCGAAUAGGGGAGCCGUAGGGAAACCGAGUCUUAACUGGGCGAAUAGUUGCAAGGUAUAGACCCGAAACCCGGUGAUCUAGCCAUGGGCAGGUUGAAGGUUGGGUAACACUAACUGGAGGACCGAACCGACUAAUGUUGAAAAAUUAGCGGAUGACUUGUGGCUGGGGGUGAAAGGCCAAUCAAACCGGGAGAUAGCUGGUUCUCCCCGAAAGCUAUUUAGGUAGCGCCUCGUGAACUCAUCUUCGGGGGUAGAGCACUGUUUCGGCUAGGGGGUCAUCCCGACUUACCAAACCGAUGCAAACUCCGAAUACCGAAGAAUGUUAUCACGGGAGACACACGGCGGGUGCUAACGUCCGUCGUGAAGAGGGAAACAACCCAGACCGCCAGCUAAGGUCCCAAAGUCAUGGUUAAGUGGGAAACGAUGUGGGAAGGCACAGACAGCCAGGAUGUUGGCUUAGAAGCAGCCAUCAUUUAAAGAAAGCGUAAUAGCUCACUGGUCGAGUCGGCCUGCGCGGAAGAUGUAACGGGGCUAAACCAUGCACCGAAGCUGCGGCAGCGAACGUAUCACUUAAAACGCUUAACGUGACGGCAAAGCCGGCAUGUUCAAGCCACACUAAACGUUGAGUUGGCCGAUGUGCUGACAAACGAACAGGCGUUUUAAGGAUACGUUCGUUGGGUAGGGGAGCGUUCUGUAAGCCGUUGAAGGUGGUCUGUGAGGGCUGCUGGAGGUAUCAGAAGUGCGAAUGCUGACAUAAGUAACGAUAAUGCGGGUGAAAAACCCGCACGCCGGAAGACCAAGGGUUCCUGUCCAACGUUAAUCGGGGCAGGGUGAGUCGACCCCUAAGGCGAGGCUGAAAAGCGUAGUCGAUGGGAAACAGGUUAAUAUUCCUGUACUUGGUGUUACUGCGAAGGGGGGACGGAGAAGGCUAGGCUAGCCGGGCGACGGUUGUCCCGGUUUAAGCAUGUAGGCGGAGUGACCAGGUAAAUCCGGUUGCUUAUCAACGCUGAGGUGUGAUGACGAGUCACUACGGUGAUGAAGUAGUUGAUGCCAUGCUUCCAGGAAAAGCCUCUAAGCAUCAGGUAACAUGAAAUCGUACCCCAAACCGACACAGGUGGUCAGGUAGAGAAUACUCAGGCGCUUGAGAGAACUCGGGUGAAGGAACUAGGCAAAAUGGUGCCGUAACUUCGGGAGAAGGCACGCUGGCAUUAGGUAAAGGGACUUGCUCCCGGCGCCGAAGCCAGUCGCAGAUACCAGCUGGCUGCAACUGUUUAAUAAAAACACAGCACUGUGCAAACACGAAAGUGGACGUAUACGGUGUGACGCCUGCCCGGUGCUGGAAGGUUAAUUGAUGGGGUCAGCCGCAAGGCGAAGCUCUUGAUCGAAGCCCCAGUAAACGGCGGCCGUAACUAUAACGGUCCUAAGGUAGCGAAAUUCCUUGUCGGGUAAGUUCCGACCUGCACGAAUGGCGUAAUGAUGGCCAGGCUGUCUCCACCCGAGACUCAGUGAAAUUGAACUCGCUGUGAAGAUGCAGUGUACCCGCGGCAAGACGGAAAGACCCCGUGAACCUUUACUAUAGCUUGACACUGAACAUUGAGCCUUGAUGUGUAGGAUAGGUGGGAGGCAUAGAAGUGUGGACGCCAGUCUGCAUGGAGCCAACCUUGAAAUACCACCCUUUAAUGUUUGAUGUUCUAACUCGGCCCCGUAAUCCGGGGUGAGGACAGUGUCUGGUGGGUAGUUUGACUGGGGCGGUCUCCUCCCAAAGAGUAACGGAGGAGCACGAAGGUUAGCUAAUCACGGUCGGACAUCGUGAGGUUAGUGCAAAGGCAUAAGCUAGCUUGACUGCGAGAGUGACGGCUCGAGCAGGUACGAAAGUAGGUCUUAGUGAUCCGGUGGUUCUGAAUGGAAGGGCCAUCGCUCAACGGAUAAAAGGUACUCCGGGGAUAACAGGCUGAUACCGCCCAAGAGUUCAUAUCGACGGCGGUGUUUGGCACCUCGAUGUCGGCUCAUCACAUCCUGGGGCUGAAGUAGGUCCCAAGGGUAUGGCUGUUCGCCAUUUAAAGUGGUACGCGAGCUGGGUUUAGAACGUCGUGAGACAGUUCGGUCCCUAUCUGCCGUGGGCGUUGGAAGAUUGAGAGGGGCUGCUCCUAGUACGAGAGGACCGGAGUGGACGAAUCACUGGUGUUCGGGUUGUCAUGCCAAUGGCAUUGCCCGGUAGCUAAAUUCGGAAGAGAUAACCGCUGAAAGCAUCUAAGCGGGAAACUUGCCUCGAGAUGAGUCUUCCCUGGGGCUUUAAGCCCCCUGAAGGAACGUUAAAGACGAUGACGUUGAUAGGCUGGGUGUGUAAGUGCAGCGAUGCAUUGAGCUAACCAGUACUAAUGAACCGUGAGGCUUAACCUU
rnacentral:rRNA from 1 species